UAUAUAGGUUGAAAAUCUACAACCAUCUUCAUGCUACACUGAGAAUGAGAGCACCCUAGUUACAAAUACGUCAUUGAUUGAUGUUUUUGCUGUAAGUUCAAGCAAGGUUGAAAAUCUACAACCAUCUUCAUGCUACACUGAGAAUGAGAGCACCCUAGUUACAAAUACGUCAUUGAUUGAUGUUUUUGCUGUAAGUUCAAGCAAGAUUGAAAGUUCUAUAGAUCCAAAUUCGGCACUGGUUGAUUUUGUUGUUAGUUCAAGCGAGGUAAUUUCAAUAUAUAUUU
rnacentral:lncRNA from 1 species